AACUUACGUUGCCAUUGUGGUUGAAAAACGACAUGCCAGAACUUGUUGCAAUCCAGUCUCAACAAAGAGCUUGUCUGAUGCUUGCAGGUGUCGAUGGGGUUGCUCAACAAGACGAAUGGACCACUGAAGCCUCCUGACAAAUCUGUGUCCUGUGGCUUUUGGACAAACCAGUUCCUCCAGUGAAGUCAUUUGGAAUAUGAACAAUACCUUUAAGGAUCAACCGAACUCAUAGAACUGCAUGAAAGUCAUCCUGGCUAAUGUGGAGGAAAAGAUGGGUUUUCAUUAUAAAAUGGUGGCCAUUGGUGAUAUUCACACGGUGGUUUUUUUACAGCAUGUGAAGGAAAAAUGCAAAUUGCGUGUUCAGCUGAUGUUAAUCAGUCCCCUUGCUAAAACAUAGGGGUGAAGAUGUGGAGAUAAAAGCCUGAUGAUGUAGAAGUAUGUGUCGUAUUACUGGCCAGCAUAGAGUGUUGGACAUCCACAUUUUCUUCAAAAACAACUUGAAAGCAGAAAAAAAAUUCCCAGGCCAGACUGUCUCUUCGGGUUCAGUAUCAGAGUAAUACUGCUGAGUGGAAUGCAGAGAUUGUGUAUGGGAAUGAAGGAGUUCCGAUGCCCCCCAACCCAGGUCCUGGUGUGGUCGAAGCAGGAGUACCCAGGUGGAGAUGUGCUAUGCUGUUUGUCCUGAUAGCAGCUGCUGCAGUGUUGAUCCUGCUGGUGGCGCCUUUGGCCAGACUGUCUCUUCGGGUUCAGUAUCAGAGUAAUACUGCUGAGUGGAAUGCAGAGAUUGUGUAUGGGAAUGGAAGAUUUCCGAUGCCCCCCAACCCAGCUCCUGGUGUGGUCGUAGCAGCAGUGCCCAGAUGGAGUCCUGAUGCUCUGUGGCUGCUGAUGGCGGCUGUUGGUGUCUUGAUCCUGCUGGUGGCGCCUUUGGUCCUGAAUGCAGUUCAUUAUUAAUUGUCAAUUGCUAUCAGUUGGCAACUUUUCAAUCACACUUUUCAUCAAUUCGGUCUUUUUGUAUUUCAAUAACUGAAAUUUCUUAGUGUGUCUCCUGCAGUGCUUCAGAUUGCUUAUAUCUAUAGAAUCCUUAAUAUUUUUUUAAAUGUUGAUCCCCUUUUGCAAUAAAAAAUAAAUUAAAAGGGUUAAAAUAUGAUUUAAAGUAAAAGAUUGAGUGAGAUUAAACUGGACUGUCAGUACUCACUCUAAAAAAAGUAGUUCAAUCUGGGAUUUCAUGCUGCAGAAAAUCACUGAUGACUAUCUUUGCUCUGGACAGCAUGUCAAUUAGGAAUCCUAAGGUAAUAAUUACACAUCAUUAGAGCUCACAGAUCAGUGUAGAAAGAGCUAGUAUGAAAUAAAAGAUUGAUUGCUACUGGUAGACAAUCAGUGGCACCAGUCUGUGUGUUGUAUUGUUUGGAUAGAGGAACAAAAAAAAUGGACAGGGUGUAAUUUUUGACCUAUUAGUAUAAAAUAGUUUACAAACUGUAUCAAAGCUACGUGUUAAUGGAUCCAUCCCCACCUACAGUAUUGGCUACAUGCUGUUCAAUGAUUCCAGGCAGUUACUGAAUCUAUUUUGAACAGUAAAAUAAAGCGACAAAACAAACUACAUUUAAAACAUCUAGUAUUUUAAAAAGUGUCUUGAUUCUUGAGUGUGUUUCAUCCACAGUGGAGAACAAAACUAGUGAUGGAUGGUGGUAAAUCAGGUCCAAGAAAAAUUCAGAAAACCAAAGAUUCUUUGCUUUUUUUUGGUUUUGUUUGCAGUGUUUUUCUAUGUUUACCAGUAUAAUUGUCUUUACACAUACAGUAUUGUAUCAUUUCCAGCAAACAAUAAACUGUAAAGCCUGUUGAUUUUGUUUGUACUAAUUUGUUUGUUUGUUCGAUUAACCCUAGGUGGGUGGUACAUGUCAAACAUCCACAUGAAUGUCAGGACUCAAGGUUUCCCAGCAGAACAUUGUAUUAUAACAACAUGAUUGAUGUUGUUCACUUCACCUGUCAGCGGUCAUAAUGUUGUGGCUGAUCAGUGUACAUGAUAUUUACAAGUGGAUGCAAACGUUUGUUAACAACUGUAUAUAAUCACAUGGUUCUCCUUCCUAUUCUCUGCCAUUUUGUUAGAGAUACAUUUGUAUUUUCUCACACAUGGCUCCUUCAGGUGAUGUCUGGAAAAGUUCAGGGCUGCAGUUCAUGUGUGAAAAUGGUUCAGCAGCAAGGAUUAAAGUGAAAAACAGAACUGGCACACGCCCAGAACCCAUAAUGGAAAGAUCUCUGCUGAUCAACAUAUAAUUGUGGGACUUUUUGUAUCAUAGUUGACAUUUUUGCUGUUUUCAGGCCUAAAAUCAACAUGGCCGCCUAUAACCAAACAUCACAUGGUAUUUUACAGAAAGAUUCUUCUAAAUAUUAUAUAUACAAUUGAGUUAAAUUGAAAUUGAAAGUUAGUAGUAAAGAUAUUGUAGUAAACCUGUUGACAUGCCAUAAAUCCACACUUGACUCACACACUACUUUAUAUUAAAUAACUCAGAAAGCCUUGGAGUCUUGUCAGUCUUUUCUUCAGGAGGAAAUGACAUCAUGUGGAGCAGGUCAUGUGAUCUGGAAUUAACACACUUCAGGUGUUUUUGUAAUAGUUGAAAAUGAUUUCUCUGACAUAGACACAAUUGUUAUUUUCCAUAUAAAAUUUGAUAUAUUGCCAAAAAAGAAACAUCUGUCAUGAUUAUCUCAACUUAAUAAAAAGAAC
ensembl:lncRNA